rnacentral:rRNA from 1 species
UACGAAGGGGGCUAGCGUUGCUCGGAAUCACUGGGCGUAAAGCGCACGUAGGCGGCUUUCUAAGUCAGGGGUGAAAUCCUGGAGCUCAACUCCAGAACUGCCUUUGAUACUGGAGAGCUUGAGUCCGGAAGAGGUGAGUGGAACUCCGAGUGUAGAGGUGAAAUUCGUAGAUAUUCGGAAGAACACCAGUGGCGAAGGCGGCUCACUGGUCCGGUACUGACGCUGAGGUGCGAAAGCGUGGGGAGCAAAGCA